rnacentral:misc_RNA from 1 species
UGUGGGAGCGAGCCUGCUCGCGAAGCGGUAUUCGCCUCACAUCGUUCAGUGUGGCGGCCAUUCGCGAGCAGGCUCGCUCCCACA